UGUUUCGGCUAGGGGGUCAUCCCGACUUACCAACCCGAUGCAAACUACGAAUACCGAAGAAUGUUAUCACGGGAGACACACGGCGGGUGCUAACGUCCGUCGUGAAGAGGGAAACAACCCAGACCGCCAGCUAAGGUCCCAAAGUCAUGGUUAAGUGGGAAACGAUGUGGGAAGGCACAGACAGCCAGGAUGUUGGCUUAGAAGCAGCCAUCAUUUAAAGAAAGCGUAAUAGCUCACUGGUCGAGUCGGCCUGCGCGGAAGAUGUAACGGGGCUAAACCAUGCACCGAAGCUGCGGCAGCGACACUAUGUGUUGUUGGGUAGGGGAGCGUUCUGUAAGCCGUUGAAGGUGGCCUGUGAGGGUUGCUGGAGGUAUCAGAAGUGCGAAUGCUGACAUAAGUAACGAUAAAGCGGGUGAAAAGCCCGCUCGCCGGAAGACCAAGGGUUCCUGUCCAACGUUAAUCGGGGCAGGGUGAGUCGACCCCUAAGGCGAGGCCGAAAGGCGUAGUCGAUGGGAAACAGGUUAAUAUUCCUGUACUCGGUGUUACUGCGAAGGGGGGACGGAGAAGGCUAUGUUAGCCGGGCGACGGUUGUCCCGGUUUAAGCAUGUAGGCGGAACGAUUAGGUAAAUCCGGUCGUUUAUUCAACGCUGAGGUGUGACGACGAGGCACUACGGUGCUGAAGUAACAAAUGCCCUGCUUCCAGGAAAAGCCUCUAAGCAUCAGGUAACAACGAAUCGUACCCCAAACCGACACAGGUGGUCAGGUAGAGAAUACCAAGGCGCUUGAGAGAACUCGGGUGAAGGAACUAGGCAAAAUGGUGCCGUAACUUCGGGAGAAGGCACGCUGAUGGUAGGUGAAGUGACUUGCUC
rnacentral:rRNA from 1 species